CAAUGGAACACGACUCAGCCAUUAAAAAGAAUAAAAUAAUGCCAUUUGUAGCAACAUGGGUGAACCUAGAGAUGAUCAAACUAAGUGAUCAAUCAGAGAAAGACAAAUAUCAUAUGAUAGUCCUUAUAUGAGGAAUCUUUAAAAAAUGAUAUGAAUGACCUUAUUUAUAAAACAGAAAUAGACUUACAGACAUGAGAGACAAACUUAUGGUUCCCAAAGGGGAAAGGAAGGCAGAUAAAUUAGUUUGGGAUUAUCAGAGUCCUUGGCUACUUCAUAGAACAUAAAUACUGCACAUGACUGUAGAUCAUGAGGUUCAACUGGUUAUUAAGUCGUUUAAUCCUAGAAGAACCCUAUUAUUCCCAUUUUAAAGGUGAGAACUCUGAGGCACAGAGAAGUUAAACAGGUAUUGCAGCUGUGAUUCAGUCUGGAUGGUUCAGGGUCCCGAGUCCAUGGCCCUGACCUCGACCCUGUACUGUACCCCGGAUACUACGGUUCCAUCUAUGCCUUUAUCUUUGCUGACUCCCUUACCUGUUGUGUUAUCCCACUUUCCUGAAUUUUAAUGUUCUGUGGGCCUUCUUUGAUGGGUUGGUUUUUUUUUUUCUUUUGGUCUUAUAAAGCAGUUCAGAAAUGGGAGUUUGCAGAAUAAAGGAAGAAAGAUUAAACAGAAGGAAAUACGGAAACUUGUUAUUGCCCCUCUGGAAUGUUCUGAAAGUUCGUUGACAAGCAGUCCAGAGAAAGACGACGGGAGACAGCGUCGGACUGAGUCAGGGAUGGGAAGUCAGCAGCAAGGGAAGACAGGUUCAAAUUGGUUUGUGCAGAUUCCCACAAGGCACUUUUAAUUGUGUGUCACUUAAAAUGUAAUGCUGCAUCUCUCCCUCUCCUCAUUAGUUGUACUUUUGGAAAAUGUAAACUGGGCAAAACACAGCAAGGCGGCUCGCUUUCUGAAGAUUUUUAUUUACCUGUGCAGUGAGGCACGGUGCAGAGUUCCUGCCUUUGGGGAUUUUAUUGUGUUUGAGGAAAUAGACUAAAAGCGAUCAUUUUAAUGCAAUAGUGGAGGUCUUUCAGGCAGAGAAACCUCACGGAAAAGAUGCAGAGGCAGGAGAGUGUAUAACUUGUUUCAGGAAAGGCAAGUAACCCACUGUGAUCAGGACAGGAAGGUGCAAAGGUCAAGGCCACCCCUCUGCAUGAUUCCAAAAGACAUCCUUUCGUUGUCUCCCAGGUGAACAGAAUCUUCUGGCUUUGUCUAGUGCACAACCUGAGGACCUGGGUGAGGUUGGGAAGGGGGAUCCCUUUCCUCUUUUUCUCUUAUUAUGUAGGGGAAGAUUUGAAGGGAAAAAUGGCAUCAGCUUUUCCCAUAUUUAUUUAUUUAUUUAUUUAUUUAUUUUGCUUGUUAGGGCUGCACUAGCAGCGUAUGGAGGUUCCCAGGCUAGGGGUCCCAUCAGAGCGGCAGCCGCCAGCCUAUGCCACAGUCACAGCAACUCCAGAUCCAAGCCGUAUCUGUGACCUACACCGCAGCUUGCGGCAAUGCUGGAGCCUUAACUCAGUGAGCGAGGCCAGGGAUCAAACUUCGGCAUCCUUGUGGAUACUAGUCAGGGCCUUAACCCGCUGAGCCACAUCAGGAACUCUCGGCUUUUCCCAUUUUUAAAAGGACAAAAGCUUUGUCUUUUCCUGGAUCAGCAAAACUGUCAAUCAGAGAUAAUGUGUUUGUAGCUAAUUCCCAAGAUACCUGCUUGAAAUAUGACUACGGGCGGUAAAGUGAAAAUGCCUAGUUAUAGAGUCUCCACGGAUGACAAGUAUUCUGACCUAAGGUCAAGAACUAGGUCAGAAAAAUAACCUUUCCAAGUAUUUAAGCAUUUUCAGAAUGAAAUGCUUAGGCCCUCGGAAUAUGCGAAGGCUCUGUGAAACCUGGAAGGGCUUUUAGAAAAAUUCCAGUCUCCUUUACAGAUGAGGCCAAAUACCUUUGCAAAUUCUACAUCAGGCAGCGAGAAGAAGGAGGGUUUAAGAUGGUACACUUUCCUCCCCACUGACUUGCCACUAAAAUAAACAACAAUAAUAAACAUUCAUGCUCUUUGAGCCGGAAUGGAGGUGCCAGGCCAAUCUUUUCCUCGAUGUUUUUUCUCUUCUGUUUUCCAUUGCCUCAGCUUGAUCUCAGGUUUGUACUGGAACAGAGUCCAAACAGGAUAAAAUACCCUGAAAAGCUUUGUUGGGACUGCUGCAACCUGGCCAGAGGCAAGAAAUAGUAGAAAUCAUGAGAGAGCCUGUUCGGAUGAGAAUUCCAGCGGCGCUCGGUUCCAUUCAAGCAAGUUCCAAAACAAGAGAAAAAUCCUUACAUGGCCCGCCAACAUUUUUAGGGUGCUCCUCCAAAACAAACAGAAAUUUGCAUCUUUGAAGAGUCCCCAAGUUUGGAGCCCAUCCAUUGCCUGAGUUCCCCUGGCGGCCCCCUCCGUCUGGACCAGAAGAAAGUCCAUGAUGCAAAGUCAGCGGUGUGGACCUUUGGUGAGGCUGCUGCUUGGCCUCUUGGACACCUCCAACAGUGAGUGCUUUCCUAAGGCUGGGAUGCAGAAAGUCCUGAGUUUCAUUUUUCUUGUGCCAGCAUUAAUGGAUAUGAUGCUGUCUGUCAUUCUCCCACCCUGUAGAAGAAAAUCGCUCUAAGUUCAUGACUUAAUCUCUGCUCAUAGGAGACAUAAUAAAAGCUAGAACUCCCCCCAAAAGAGAGGUGAGCGUGGUUAAUCACUCUGUCAGUGCAGAAAGAUUCCUUUCUGCUGCACAGUUGUUCACUGACCUAAGACAGAUUUGAAGAAGAGGUCCGAGGCUCAUCUAUGCUCCAGAGGCCAUAUUGUUUUGCAGAUGGUGGAAUAAAUAAAAUAUUUCCUGAAGCGUGAACACGUGCAGGAAGGAGCAGAGGAUGAGGGGAUGCUGCUGUAAGCCGGGCUAGCCAGAUGUGAAUGCUGACCUCCACGCACUGGAAUCUGAUUGACAGUGGGGUUGGAUUUCUCCAGCUGUUUGGAAGAGCUGCAUGGGAAGUCAACUCGUUCCCAAGACGAAAGGGGGCCACCUGCAACAUAUCCCCUUCAUCACCGUUGGGAUUUCCAUCGUGUGUAUUUCUGGGAUCUCGAAUCCCUCGUUUUCAAUGCGCAGAAAUCUUAUAAAAGGGAUUUCCGAAGUAUCAGCAACCAGAUCUCUGAAAGAGAGUUCUGUAUUCUUUCCACCAGGAUCAGCGCUCAGAGUGUCGGCCGAUCCCUACAGAGCUAGGUUUAAUAUUUAGUUUCAGGAUAAUUUGAACUGUGGAUGGCACAUACCGCAGCCAACAAGCUAACAGAAAGCACACAUGCCUUGCGUAUGUGUGUGUUCAUGAAAGUAGGUGCGUGUUGUGAACAAGUUCCUGCAAAUGGAAACCAUCUAUAAAACUGUCCACUGGAGCCAAUGGAAUACUCACUAAUUAGAAUCGUUUCUGGAAACUAUUGUUUCAGGAAAGUGGUAGUUCCAGGAAGCCUUGAAGAUUUUAUUUAUGUAUGUAUUUGUUUAUGUAGGUUUUUAUAACUGCAGCCUUGGCUAAAAUUAACAUCAUGAAACAAGGACAGCAAAAUUGCAUUUUUAAAUGUGCCCGAAAACUGAGCAUUAGUCAUAAUACAAUGCCGGAUACCCCUGGAUUCAAAACCAGCAACUCUGGGGGAAAAAAAAAAAAAAACCUACAGAAACGUGAACCUCAUGUAUAGAUUGGUUAGCUGAAAUAUACCUUUGCAGGAGCUACAAAAUAAAGGGUUUGUGAAUAACUGCAAAUGCAAAUUAAAUUGCGGGCCAAGGUUUAAAGAGAACAACUGGUUUCAAACAGACCCUUAAGCAUUUCAGAAGCAGCUAUUUACAUACAAGCAAUUAAUGCCUGAAUUACAAAUCAUUCUUAUCAAUUCAUUAAAACAAGCUCCCCAGGGACCUCUACUAGACUGAAAAAAAUCUGAGAUCUCUAACUUGUAUACAUUUGAAAAAAGGCACACAUUUCACUGUUCACCCUCUGCUAAUUCAGAUUGUCCUUUUCAACAAUCUGAGUGCGAAAGGUUUCUGCCUGCUCCUGGAGCGAAACCAGCUCUGAGUGAUAACACUGACACUGAUCUCUGAUGUCUUGGGGAUGUAGAAAAAGACCUCCUCCAAGUGUAAAAGCAGAUCACACUUGUGUGACAGAAGAACCACUUACAAGAUGCCAUUUAAGGGGCCCAUCUCACCUCCAAAUAUAUCCCCACUUGAGUCUCCAGUAUUUAAGGUUUCUGUGAUUGGAUUCAUUUGGAUGAAGGCAAAUAGCUUUGUCAAGGGGCUGCUGUUUAAAUGAAGAUAUUUUCUGAGUGGGAAGGUAAUCCAUGCACCUGCAUGGGCUCAGGGGCCCCAGGGCAGCCAGGUUCAGAGUGGGGCUCAGAUCAGAACAUGGGAGGGGGAAGGCCUGCACCUCACGGCCUUCAUUCGCAGAGGGAAACCUCGAGAGCAUAACGGGAUCAGGUGGACAGGGGCGGUGAGGAAAGGAAGUGCUAAGAACAAUUUCAUCACUGUGUUGAAGGCCAGCCUUGCCUCCAACAUGCUAGUUUAGCGUCACGGUCCCCAGGAAGUCGGCUCUGGGGACACCUUCUAAACUUCCAGGCUUUGCUCUUCCAAGGCUGAAGCCCCACACCCUGCCUUGUGCCAGCCCCUCCAACAGGUCUUCUUCCUGUUUGCAGCAGGCCCUUUAAAAUCCCGAGAGGUUGCCUUUACACAUCUGUAUGCUCUCUGGGGCGUGCGGGGGGCGGGGGCCUUUAUCCCACCCCCCCCCCCCCCCCCCGAUCAAGCGUGGCUCUCACUUCCGCAUAAAUCUCCCGACUUCUCUGAGAAGGCUUUCCAGAAUUAAAAUUCAAACCCAAGCAAAGUAUUUCUGGGAUACUGUGAAAUACAGUCAGCAACCCUAACAUGUCACGUGCUGAGACGUCAAAUACAGAAAAAGUCCAAGACUUUAUAUGACCUACUGAACAUUCACACAUUGUCCAAAGAUUUUCUUUGAAAUGCUGUUCUAGCCCAAGGGGAUGGAUCUG
rnacentral:lncRNA from 1 species